AUUGAACGCUGGCGGCAGGCCUAACACAUGCAAGUCGAACGAGUGGCGGACGGGUGAGUAAUGUCUGGGAAACUGCCUGAUGGAGGGGGAUAACUACUGGAAACGGUAGCUACUACCGCAUACCAUCAGAUGUGCCCAGAUGGGAUUAGCUAGUUGGUGGGGUAACGGCUCACCAAGGCGACGAUCCCUAGCUGGUCUGAGCGGCUGACCCGCCACACGGGAAUGGAUCUACGGUACAGACUCCUACGUGAGGCAGCAGUGGGGAAUAUUGCACAAUGGGGGCAAGCCUGAUGCAGCCAUGUCGCGUGUAUGAAGAAGGCCUUCGGGUUGUAAAGUACUUUCAGCGGGGAGGCGUUACCCGCAGAAGAAGCACCGGCUAACUCCGUGCCAGCAGCCGCGGUAAUUC
rnacentral:rRNA from 1 species